rnacentral:lncRNA from 1 species
CCCAAGACCCACUUGAAGUUGAGAACAAGGAGGUAACAGAGGAAGCCAAGCCUGAGGAAGUGAAGCCAGAAACAGAGAAAACAGAGGAAAAAACAGAGGAGCCAAAAACAGAGGAGCCUGCAGCAACUACUGAAACAGAGUCAGCAGCACCUGUAGAGGAAGAGAACAAACCAGCAGAGGAAGCCCCUGUAGAAGUUGUUCCAGUUGAGAAGACUGAAGCUUAAAGAGUGAGAGUAAAAGAAUGUUUAAUUAAAUGGUCCCAGUUUCUGGUAUCAGGUCUACCAUUUUGCA